rnacentral:tRNA from 1 species
GCCCCGAUGGUGAAAUUGGUAGACGCACCGGCCUUAAAAGCCGUCGACCGUAAGGUUAUGCCGGUUCGAGCCCGGCUCGGGGUACCA